UCUCUGAUCUUCCACCAGUGACGAAUAAGACCGUGACAUCGCUUCCUAUUGAGUCCCCAUAUUCCUUGAUUGGAAAUCAUAAUAAAGGUUUGUCACAGCUCGCUGUCAACACGUAUUGUUUACUGGAGAAACCCAAAGCGCCGGCAAACAACCAGAACCAAUAACUCUGCUCCGUCACUGCAGCCGGGGAAUGACUGUAACGGCUCUGUAGCGACACUUUCUACCUAUUUAUAGUAUAGUUGUGAUAUCACAAUGGAUGGCUCGUUUAAAGGCACAGUUUCUGAAUACUGGCUGUGUGCAUUUCUCAGUGGAUUGAACGUUUUGUUACUUUCACAGUAGUCUAUAUAUCGACAACACUUCAUUUACGGGAUUGCCCCGUUGCCGCCGGAAAUUCCACCGGAUGUCCCUCUUUUCGGCCGGAUGUCCAUCAC